AGUGAACGCUGGCGGUAUGCCUAACACAUGCAAGUCGAACGGCAGCACAGUAAGAGCUUGCUCUUACGGGUGGCGAGUGGCGGACGGGUGAGGAAUACAUCGGAAUCUACUUUUUCGUGGGGGAUAACGUAGGGAAACUUACGCUAAUACCGCAUACGACCUACGGGUGAAAGUAGGGGAUCUUCGGACCUUGCGCGAUUGAAUGAGCCGAUGUCGGAUUAGCUAGUUGGCGGGGUAAAGGCCCACCAAGGCGACGAUCCGUAGCUGGUCUGAGAGGAUGAUCAGCCACACUGGAACUGAGACACGGUCCAGACUCCUACGGGAGGCAGCAGUGGGGAAUAUUGGACAAUGGGCGCAAGCCUGAUCCAGCCAUACCGCGUGGGUGAAGAAGGCCUUCGGGUUGUAAAGCCCUUUUGUUGGGAAAGAAAAGCAGCAGGUUAAUACCCCGCUGUUCUGACGGUACCCAAAGAAUAAGCACCGGCUAACUUCGUG
rnacentral:rRNA from 1 species